rnacentral:tRNA from 1 species
GCAAGAGUGGUGGAAUCGGUAGACACGCAAGCUUGAGGGGCUUGUGAGAAUAUUCUCGUGUGGGUUCAAAUCCCAUCUCUUGCACCA